CAGAAGUUUAAUCCAACCUACAUCCCAGAGUCUCCACAAAUGCUCACCGAAGAAAAUUCCCGGGACGAUUCAGGGGCCUCUCAAAUCUGCUCCGAGACGUUGAUAAAGAACCUUAGUAACUUGACUAUCAACACUAGUAGCGAAUCUGUUUCCCCUCUAUCGGAAGCUUUACUCCGUCGAGAGUCUGUAGGAGCAGAAGUCCUCAGGGAAAUCGAAGAUGAGUGGCUUUACAGCAGGAGAGGAGUAAGAACAUUGCUGUCUGUGCAGAGAGAAAAGAUGGCAAGAUCGAGAUACAUGUUACUCGGCAGAGUUCGUAUGCAUGAAAGAAGACCAACAAACGAGGAGCCUAAGGGAGUUAAGAAGGAAUCAAGACCAUUCAAAUGUCCCUGCAGUUUCUGCGUGUCUAACGGAUGGGAUCCUUCUGAGAAUGCUAGAAUAGAGAAUCAAGACACCAAGCCACUUCAGCCAU
rnacentral:lncRNA from 1 species